rnacentral:rRNA from 1 species
GAUGAACGCUGGCGGCGUGCCUAAUACAUGCAAGUCGAGCGAACAGACGCGGCGCUUGCUCCUCUGACGUUAGCGGCGGACGGGUGAGUAACACGUGGAUCACCUACCUAUAAUACUGGGAUCACUUCGGGAAACCGGAGCUAAUACCGUAUAAUCUCUUGAACCGCAUGGUUCAAUAGUGAAAUACGGUUUUGCUGUCACUUCUCGCUGGAUCCGCGCCGCAUUAGCUAGUUGGUAAGGUAACGGCUUACCACGGCAACGAUGCGUAGACGAACUGAGAGAGGGAUAGGCGGCAUGGGAGCGGGGACAGGGACAAGACGACUAAGGGAGGCAGCAGAAGGGAAUCGGACGCAAUGGGGGAAAGCAUGACGGAGCAACGCCGCGUGAGUGAUGAAGGUCUUGGGAUCGUAAUACUCUGUUAUUAGGGAAGAACAAAUGUGGAAGUAACUAUGCACGGCGUGACGGUAACGAGUCAGAAAGCCACGGCUAACUACGUG